rnacentral:lncRNA from 1 species
CAAUCUUGGAAACCCAAGUGAUGCAGAGCCAAGAGUCAAGGGGUAGCAGCCCAUCUCAGGAAAGUACAAUUUCGUUCUCAGAAUUGCCCUGGAUCAUGAAACUGCAAGAGGAAGACCUGCAGAGGUCCUGGCCGCUAGAAGUUCUUCCCUUGAACUCGUUCCUUGGGAGACUGUCAUUUUUAACUUUGGACUCAGUAAGCAAUUUCUCAGCUAACGGGCUUGCCUACCUGUUCGGUGAGACGCUCUGGCAUGGCUACUUAGGAGCUGGCGAACUUGGACAACUCAUCCCGCUUCUGUCCACCUCCUUAUCUGACAAUGGAGAUAAUAGUAUUUAUCUUAAUAGGGCUUUUGUGAAGAUUGAGCCGUGUGAUAAUAAAAGCGAAAGUCUUUAGCUGACCUACCCACCACCUCCUUCAGAUGCUUGGGCUGUGCCACUGCCUAUGGUGCUCUGAUCGUCACUUCUCGACUCCUUUCCAUUCUCUGCAAUAAAAAAUAGUUGAGGUUUACCUGUUGCUUGGUACUGUUCAGAGCUUUUGCAUAUAUGGUAUUGUUUUAUCCUCAGUAACAAUAUUUUAGACAGAAGAGAAUUGAGGCCCAGAGAUGGAAUGUGAAG